UCUCUCUCGCUGAGGCGGAGUUUACCCCCUCUGCUCAGCGCGAGGACGCGCCGCACUUGUCAGUCGCAGCUCGUGUGUGUGAGGCAGCGGACGGCGCGCCGCCUCCGUAGGGCUCCGCAGGCGGCGGCGGACGGACGCGCCGUCGCCUCCACGCUCCCCGCUGUUUUCACUUCGCCUCCUUUCGCCGGAUGCGAGCGGACACGAGAACCGGUAGAAACAGAUUAACCCGAGGCGGAUUUGAAAUCCUUGGAGGAUAUUGACGGCCGUGGAGCGGAGUUAGCCUGAUGUGCAAGAAAAUGGUCCCAAGGGUUCACAGUGAGGACGUCCAGCGGACGGAGAGAGGUCUGACCCCCUACAGACCGACGGUGCUCUGGAAAAUUACAGAUCAGCAGAACAGCACUUGCCUGAAGAAAACACGUUUUUGUGUUGACUUGACUUGAAAUAUGUUUUUUUUUUCUUAUUCCGCUGUGCCUUAAAAUGCUGUGCCUUAAAACAAGAAUGUAUUUAAAGUUUUACUGAGAAAUAAUAUAAUCAAAUACAUAUCAAAUAAAAUUAAUACUUUAUUUUUCUGAAUUUAUGAAUAAAUGAUGAUGUUUAUUGUGGGACAUGUGAAACCAUGAGGAUUAAAAUGCUGUGUCUGAUGUUCUAUACUUGUAACAAAUUUAUAAUGAAAAUAUGUUUUUAAUGUAUUUUUUUAUUGACAAUGAGAAGACUGAUCACUUAAAGUGUGUUUAAGUGGAAUAGGAUGAAGGAAAUGUGUUUUUCAGUGAGUGUAUGCUUUGGCGCGUUGUGGAUGUUUAAAUAUUCUGUCAUGUGGUCAAUAAAGAUGACAUUUACAUUCA